GGAUUUUUCAGUUGAUUCGAAGAUGUGAAAGAAGAAUCAUCACUGUUUCGGAAGAAUAGCAACAGAAUCAAGAUUAGGUGAUUUUCAGUUGGAUUGAAGAAAAAUUAAGGAGUAUGUGGAUUCAAUUUUAUAAAUCAGGUUAGAGAUAGUAUGUGGUUUUGCUGUAGUGGCCUUGUUGGAGCCAGAUAAACAAGUUAUGGUGCUAGGAGGCAAUAAGGGUAU